rnacentral:rRNA from 1 species
UACGUAGGGUGCGAGCGUUGUCCGGAAUUAUUGGGCGUAAAGGGCUCGUAGGCGGUCUGUCGCGUCGGGCGUGAAAACUCGGGGCUUAACCCCGAGCCUGCAGUGGAUACGGGCAGACUAGAGGUAGGUAGGGGAGAAUGGAAUUCCCGGUGUAGCGGUGAAAUGCGCAGAUAUCGGGAGGAACACCGGUGGCGAAGGCGGUUCUCUGGGCCUUACCUGACGCUGAGGAGCGAAGGCGUGGGGAGCGAACAGG